CCAAAUUUGUGGCAACUAUUAAGCUUUGUGAAUUUAGUAUAUGGAUAUUUGACCAUGUGGCUGUGGUAAUAGAAUACUACAUCAACAAUGAAUGGCACACAUUAAUUUUUUUUGCUUGAAGCACCAGAAUAUAGAAUACAGACAUUUGAGGAAGCUAUUAUUGAACUGAACACUUAAGGAGAGGAUUUAUACAAGGAUAGCACCCUUAUCAUGCAGUUGUUAACGGACAAUCUCGCUUUCUUAACUUACGAAAUGCAGGUACCAGCAGGUAUGACGUAAUUUUCAAGAAAGGUACCGAGCAAUAAUUUCUUCAAUGAAUAUUCUCAAUGUUAUUAUGAAAAUUCCCAGACGUUAAUGGUAGUUCCACAAAAAAAGGAAUCCUGUGUUCCAAUAGAAGCAAAAAUGUAGGGGAGUAUUCAAAUCUUUUCUUAACAUACAUUUUUUAUUUUCCAACUCUCAAGUUUAAGCGCUAUAAUACAAUAUUGAUAUCAAUUAUUAAAAAGAAAAUACGGAAAAAUAUCUUCUGAAUAUUGUGGAGAAUGUUGAUAAUUUAUAUUUUCUUAAUUUAAAAAGUGAAUUUGAAGACACUUCUCAUGGUAUACAAGACCGCCAAAGAGUACCUGGCAGCUUUCCUUUGCAAGGGUAUAGACGAACCGACUAUAGUUCAUCCCCACCUACUCAUAGGGCAUUCCGGUAGUUAUUCACGAGGCAAUUAUGAAAGAUGGAAAAGUCGUUCGUCUGGAUGGAGUAAUCGAGUUAAUGACGCACAAUCUGAUCGGGAUUCAGGUUCGCUCAGAUUAUUCUAUAUAUUGCUUUUAUGUAUGUGUGAUAAGACUUUUUCGGUAUAUUUGAUUGCUCCAGAAUUGUAGGUGUAGUUGUAUAGUAUAAAUUAUCUAAAAAGAAAAAAAAAGAGGAAAAAAUAUAGGAAGAUCAUUAUAGGAUCAAGUUAAUUUGGUAUUGGACUAUCAUCUACAUUCAUGAGAAAAACUUGUACGAGAAACAACCUCCAUUGCCUCCUAAAAGAAGAACACACCCAAUGAAAUUUCACAAGUGAGGUAUGAGGAGGGUA